UACGAAGGUCCCGAGCGUUGUUCGGAAUCACUGGGCGUAAAGGGAGCGUAGGCGGCGUGGUAGGCAGAUGGGAAAUCCCGGGGCUCAACCCCGGAACUGCAUCCGAUACUGCCAUGCUAGAGGAUUGGAGAGGUAGCUGGAAUUCUUGGUGUAGCAGUGAAAUGCGUGGAGAUCAAGAGGAACACUCGUGGCGAAAGCGAGCUACUGGACAAUAUCUGACGCUGAGGCUCGAAGGCCAGGGUAGCGAAAGGG
rnacentral:rRNA from 1 species